rnacentral:rRNA from 1 species
CGGAGGAUGCGAGCGUUAUCCGGAUUUAUUGGGUUUAAAGGGUGCGUAGGCGGCCUUGUAAGUCAGCGGUGAAAUUUUGCAGCUUAACUGUAAAAGUGCCGUUGAUACUGUGAGGCUAGGAUUUGGUUGCUGUGGGUGGAAUGUGUGGUGUAGCGGUGAAAUGCUUAGAUAUCACACAGAACACCGAUUGCGAAGGCAGCACACUAAGUCAUUAUUGACGCUGAGGCAUGAAAGUGUGGGGAUCAAACAGGA